rnacentral:lncRNA from 1 species
AUUGGCCAAGCUAUACUCGGGUCUGGAUAUUUAGUUGUUGGAUGCGCUUGGUGUUGUCAUGUUAAUGGUUGGACCUAACCAAGAUUUUCAGUGGAGGCACCACACACUUGCUGAAGAGAUGCCUGGGGCAAAACCUAAUUGCUAGAAGUUAUUUAAAAAAAUAAUUAGUUAUGAACCUACCCAUAGAUACACUAAUGUUGAUCGAGCUACACUCGGACCCGAAUACAGUCUG